CAGCAGCCACGGGAAUACAGAGGGUGCGAGCGUUAAUCGGAUUUACUGGGCGUAAAGCGUGCGUAGGCGGCUUCUUAAGUCGGAUGUGAAAUCCCUGAGCUUAACUUAGGAAUUGCAUUCGAUACUGGGAAGCUAGAGUAUGGGAGAGGAUGGUAGAAUUCCAGGUGUAGCGGUGAAAUGCGUAGAGAUCUGGAGGAAUACCGAUGGCGAAGGCAGCCAUCUGGCCUAAUACUGACGCUGAGGUACGAAAGCAUGGGGAGCAAACAGGAUUAGAGACCCCGGUAGUCCCUGUCUCUUAUAC
rnacentral:rRNA from 1 species